rnacentral:rRNA from 1 species
CACCACAGCCAUAUCACCCUGCAGCCCAAGACCGGUUACUCACUGAAGCUAAGCAGGGCUGAGCCUGGUCAGUACCUGGAUGGGAGACCACUAGGGAACAGUAGGUUGCUGUUAGAA